AGCGCCGAGUGACUUCGCGGGAAAGGAGAGAGGGGGUCUGGUGCUGAGAGGGUUGUUUUCCUUCCGCGCAGGUUUAGUGGUGGUUUUUCUGGUACAGAUUAUUUCCCAUAUUUUCCCCCAAAAUGCCCAAAAGGUCCUGCCCUUUCGCCGACUCGUUUUCGACGCAGUAUAAAGUCCAUGUUGGACAAAAGGAGCUGCUUCAUGGAGUUUUCGGGAACAAGUACAGACAGGAAGUUUACGAAAAGACCAAGAACCUGCUUUUUAAUGGCACCCGAGCGGUCAUGGGGAGAAUCUGGAACGUGGAUGCAGAGGGGAGGCGUUCUGAGGUGGACAUGUCGGGGUCCAAUCAGGGUGUUGUGGCUCCUGCAAAUAAUCAGCUGCUACUCCGGGGACAGACUCUGAUUGGGUUUGAUGGGAAACUGAAGAAAGCCAAUGCAGUGUCAGACAAUGUGACCACUCCAAAUGUGUGCGCUGUGUGUCAGAGGUCAUCAGGAGUGAGGACAUCAUGCUCUCAGUGUGAUCGUCCUGCGUGUCCCGCCUGCAUGCAGCAGUGCAACAGCUGUUCCAGCCUCUGCUGCUCUGUCUGCACCAUCACUGAGUAAUGCCACACCCAUCUAUGCUGUACCAUACACCUUCUGAAAAACAUGCUUCAAUUUAUUAGCUUCUAUUACUUCAGUUACACAGACCGCUAUGACAAAGUCCUCUGCUGUAGCUGCUCUUCAUGAGGCGUUCACAAAGGUGGACCAGACCAAUUCCUGAAUGAAAGGAAAUGUAUUUUUCUUGUAAUAAACUUUAAUGCAUUACACAAUGUAAAUAAAAUUUUAUAUAGCUUUUACAUCUAUAUCAUUUGUCUCUGUACAUACUGUAUGUUUUUAAUCAUUUAAAUAAAUACUUGGACAAUU